rnacentral:lncRNA from 1 species
GUACACUUAAAAGAAAUAAUCUGAGUGUGUAUUUAUUAUUUAUAGCAAACUUUGAGCACAAAGAGUAUAUAAGAGAGGAACCUGAGCAGAUAUCAAACCACCAUGAUCAUAAAAUUGUUGGAGAUCAUUAUUACGCUGUGGCUAUGGACGUCAAUCGUUUCUGCUCAACUACCAAUGCUAGGCCCAUGUCCUGAUGACGUCAUGUCAAUGCGCAACUUCUCUUUCGUUCAGUUUUUAGGAAUAUGGCAUGAGCAGUAUCGGUACUUUAUCAGAGGUGAGGAAGGCCACACAUGCGUUGUUUUAAGCUUGGAAAUAAUGGCGAUGGAGCAAUCGGAAUAACUAUCUGGAACUAUGAUGAAUGGUACGCAAUUUUCAUUUCAUCGUUUCUUAUUCCUCUUUGAGAGACGGGCAGUUGUUCGAGGGACUUAUGGGAGCACCGUAUAAUCCACCUAUCCGAACAUUCGUAUUUUGAUUUCCUCUCGGUGAUCCAAAAAGUAAAAGGAUUUUUCGAUUGUAAUUUUGUGCCUACUAAAAUCUGCCUUACUACCAAUCAAACGUUAACCUUAACACAAUCUUUUGACCAAUCAAUUUUUUUUUAGGAAAUGUUUUUAAAGCACAGUAAAAGGGGUAUGCAGUGAGUAUAAGUACAGUUUUUCCUUAUUUCAGUAUUUUGGCCCUAGCAGCACUUUUUAUACCGAGUAUAGCAGAUACUUAUGCAAUAGUAUGGUGAAUGCUACCAGAGCAAUCAUUGUACUUGCUCAAAAGUUUACCUGAUCCCUUCACUAUCCUUUCUUUCCGAGCAAAAGUACUUAAACUUGACCAAAAAUUUUUUUCCUCAUAGUAGAGACUUUUAUUUCUUCAAUAAAACUGGGGGUUUCUCACGUGUAAAAUUUAGGGGAUUGAAAUACAAAUUUAAAACAAAAUCCAUGAACAUUUCAAAGAAAGGCCUUUGGCUUUCUGCAUAUCCUUUGGCAUAUCCGAGUAUCGGAUAUGCAAUAAAGCAAUACUCGUGUUCCGAUCCAUUGCCUGAAAUUUCGAAAUUUAAGCAGGUAAUACAUCAACCUGAUCUCAAUUAAUGCUAGGCAUUGUGAUCAUAGGAUUAUGAAAAUUCGUCGCCCAUCUAACAUAAAGGCGUAACUACACUCUGCGUGGCGUUCUUUGCGAUAUAUCGAUUUAUCUGCCAUUUAAACCUAUGGCGAAGGAUCGAUAGAUAGGGUGUCCGCAACAAACACCUUAACAAUCGAUUCUUUACCAUAGCCUCAAAUGUUGAAAUAUCGAAAAUCGAUCAUUCUCGCCUCGCCACUGUUUUGCGAUGAGCCCUGUCGUUCAAAUAACUCGUCAAUUUCCCGGGCUCAUCGCUAAGGGAAGUUACGCUUUUAUGUCAACCAAGCGACGAAUUUAUCGUCGGACAUUGCAUCAUUUAAAACCCGCAUGGACCCUUGAGGAGGGUAGUUUCACGGCAAACCUAUUAAAAAAAUUCCUGUACUCGAGAUCCAAGAAAUGAGCGUAAUGAAUGCAAGCACAGUCUCAACAAUUUUGUGGGUGCAUUGUAGGAUGUGAGGGCGGAUUUCAAAUCAGUGUUGCAUUUUAACCGGAGACUUUAUCACUUUUUCACACGUACCAAAUGAAAAUUUUAAUAAUUGUUUAGUAAAAAUUGGUAGCGCUGUUUGUAACUGCGGAUUCGUUGCAAUUCCUUGCCGCGCUCUCCGGAGGUGACAGACCAUGUGCUUAGGUUUCCCUCAGCACGCUAUUAAAAAUAAUGAUUCAUUAGUGCAAAAA